AUGGCUUGGUUCAUUCGAAAUGCAAUGCUGCUGCUAAUUCUGUUUUCGUUGUAUCGAAUAAACAUAUGUGACACUGACGAAGGAACGCUGCUCAUAAAACGAAGAUUUGUUAGAGUCACAAAUGAUUUGGGUGGAAACUUGACCCUUACAGUUCACUGUAAAUCAGCGGAUGACGACAUUGGUGUCCAAGUGCUUCCUUCUCAUGCUUCCUUUGGAUUCAAUUUUCGACCUAGCUGGAUAUUCAGUACACAAUUCUACUGCAGUUUUCAGUGGCCAAACACAUUUAAAUGGUUCGAUAUAUACGAUAACCCGAGAGACGCACCGCAUUGCAGCAAAUGUUGGUGGCGUAUAGUACCAAAUGGUCCAUGUAGGUUUAACUGGUAUGACAAAACGUAUGAUGUUUGCUUUCAGUGGAAUAAAGACUGA
rnacentral:lncRNA from 1 species